rnacentral:rRNA from 1 species
AUGUCAUUCUGGCACGAACGUCUUCCCAAGGGGAACAAGUGCCCGACCAGUUUCGAGGAGGCGAAGAAAAUCGUGUGUCCUCUGGAUUUACCGCACGUGAAAUACCAUGUGUGCAUGAACAAUUGCAUCAUUUAUCGGGACGAGCACGCGGAGUCUACCAUAUGUCCGGUGUGCGGCGUCACUCGAUACAAGAAGAGGAAGAAAGCUCCUCGAAAAGUGGUGUGGUACUUUCCGAUCACUCCUCGUCUGCAGUGGUAUUUCGCGGACCCUAAGGUAGCAAAGCUCCUGCGUUGGCACGCGGAUAGGGAGGAGAAGAAGCGAGAAGAUGACGCAAAUGAUCCGGAGAUAAAUAAAAAAGACAAGAUGCUGAGUCACCCUAAGGAUGGGAGCCAGUGGCAAGCGUUGAACUUCGAACACCCAGAAUUUGGGAACGAUCCAAGGAACAUCGUGCUGGGCGCGAGCACCGAUGGAGUCAAUCCGUUUGGCAGCCAGAGAAGCACACAUAGCACCUGGCCUGUGUUUGUGUGGAUGUACAACCUUCCCCCCUGGUUGUGCAUGAAGAGGAAGUACAUUCACAUGAGUAUGCUAAUUGAAGGGCCGAAACAACCAGGGAAUGACAUCAAUCUGUAUCUGGGGCUGCUGGAAGAGGAGCUAGACACGCUGUGGAAAACGCCAGCCAAUACGUGGGACGCCGCAGAGAAAGAAUAUUUCCCUAUGAGAGCCGCACUGCUCACGACGGUGCACGACUAUCUCGGUUUCGGAUAUCUCGCGAGGCAGGUGGUCCACGGAUUUUCUGGAUGUGUCAGGUGCAUGGAUGACACAACGUAUCGCCAGCUAGAUAGAGAUCCCGGGUCUUCGAAAACCGUGUUCAUGGGACAUCGAAGGUGGCUUCGCGACGAUGACCCGUGGAGGAAACGCAAGGAUCUGUUCGAUGGUGAAACAGAACCCCGAAGACGCCCGCGUACGAGGAGCGGCGAGGAAAUAGACGAGUUGUUGAAAAAUUGGAAAGAUUGCCCACUGCCGGGAAAGAAGCAAAAGGCGCCAGAGCCGGGAAAGAAGCGAAAGGCGCCAGAGCCACUGCUGAAGGUAUGGAAAACGAGGUCUGUUUUCUGGGACUUGCCGUACUGGAAGAUCCACCGUGUGCCUCACAGCCUUGAUGUCAUGCAUAUCACGAAGAACGUGUGCGAGAGUCUGCUUGGUACCCUGCUCAACAUGCCAGAGAGGACCAAAGAUGGGCCGAAAGCAAGGGCAGACUUGAAAUCAAUGGGCAUCAGGGAGGAGCUUCAUGCUAAUGAUGAUGAUGAUGAUGAGGCGAAGCAGGACACGGAAAGUCGUCGCAAAGGCAAAAAGGCCAAGAAAACCGGAAAUGACUUCCCUCCCACGUGCUUCACUCUAAGUCAGGAGGAGAUCGAUCAGUUUUUCACCUGCCUCGUAGGAGUAAAACUUCCUUACGGUUACGCGGGGAAGAUAAGCAGAUACCUAGACUCAGUGAAGCAGAAGUUCAGCGGGAUGAAGUCUCACGACUGUCACAUGCUGAUGACGCAGAUACUUCCAGUUGCAAUCCGUGGGAUCAUGGACGCACACGUCCGUGAAACGCUAUUUGGCCUAUGCAACUUUUUCGACGUCAUCUCUCGGAAGUCGGUUGGCAUGAGGCAACUCAGAAGGCUACAGGAAGAGAUCGUGGUGAUACUAUGCGAGCUUGAGAUGUACUUCCCUCCCGCAUUCUUCGACGUUAUGGUGCAUCUGCUAGUCCAUAUCGUGGAGGAUAUCAUCCAACUCGGGCCGACGUUCCUGCACAGCAUGAUGCCGUUCGAAAGGAUGAAUGGUGUCAUCAAAGGAUACGUUCGCAACAUGUCACGUCCAGAGGGAAGCAUAGCCAGGGGCUUUCUGACCGAAGAGUGCAUCUCCUACUGCACGAAUUAUCUAGGCAUCGAGAACCCCGUUGGUCUGCCCGUCAACAGGCACCUUGGCAGGCUCGCUGGAUGGGGUCACCGUGAGGGUCGCCGCGAAAUGCAUGUCGACUUCGAUGGUCGACUCGCCGACUUUGAAAGAGCAAACCUAGUCGCGCUACAACACAUAGACGUGGUCGAUCCUUGGGUGGUAGAGCACAAAACGUUUAUUGAGAAGACGUACAAUGACCGAGGCCAACAGAGGACAGACGGAGAUAUAAUCAAAGAGCACAACUCAUGUUUCACGCGUUGGUUCAAGCAGAAGCUUCUGUCGUACCCUUUACAUGAGGAUUCUUCCGCGGAAGAACAACUCAUAUUCGCCUUGUCACAGGGCGCCGAGCACAACCUGAUGACGUAUGAGGCGUACGAUAUCAACGGCUACACAUUCUACACCGAGGACAAGGACAUGAAGAGCAAUGGUUAUCAGAACUCCGGGGUAACGAUGGAAUCCUACACCGGUAACAACAAGGAUAGAUACUACGGAAGGAUCGAGGAGAUCUGGGAGCUGAGCUACGCUGGAGAGAAGGUCCCGAUGUUCCGUGUCAGAUGGGCCAAGAGCGUCAUAAAAGAAGACCGGUAUUUCACCACCAUGGUUAUACCCGAAGCCAAAUCCAAGACCGCAAGCGCGAACGUCACCGCGAAAAAUGAGCCAUGGGUACUGGCUUCCCAAGUGGACCAAUGCUUCUUCAUUACCGACCCAUCAAAGCCCAGUCGUGUUGUCGUGAGGAGAGGCAAAAGGAAGAUCAUCGGAAUGGAUGGAGUCGCCAAUGAGCAAGACUUCGACAAGUACGGCGACCCGAAGAUGGAACAUGACGACGACGAUGAAGUAUCAGCAUACACCACAAGAAGAAGCAGGACCACCCUACCUAAAGGACGUCCGUUCAAGAGAAGAACUCCAUUUACGAAAAAUAAGGGCAAGAAGAUUGUGAACAGAUAG